rnacentral:rRNA from 1 species
AAAUUGAAGAGUUUGAUCAUGGCUCAGAUUGAACGCUGGCGGCAGGCCUAACACAUGCAAGUCGAACGGUAACAGGAAGCAGCUUGCUGCUUCGCUGACGAGUGGCGGACGGGUGAGUAAUGUCUGGGAAACUGCCUGAUGGAGGGGGAUAACUACUGGAAACGGUGGCUAAUACCGCAUAACGUCGCAAGACCAAAGAGGGGGACUUUCGGGCCUCUUGCCAUCAGAUGUGCCCAGAUGGGAUUAGCUUGUUGGUGAGGUAACGGCUCACCAAGGCGACGAUCCCUAGCUGGUCUGAGAGGAUGACCAGCCACACUGGAACUGAGACACGGUCCAGACUCCUACGGGAGGCAGCAGUGGGGAAUAUUGCACAAUGGGCGCAAGCCUGAUGCAGCCAUGCCGCGUGUAUGAAGAAGGCCUUCGGGUUGUAAAGUACUUUCAGCGGGGAGGAAGGUGUUGUGGUUAAUAACC